rnacentral:rRNA from 1 species
UGGGGAAUCUUCCGCAAUGGACGAAAGUCUGACGGAGCAACGCCGCGUGAGUGAAGAAGGUUUUCGGAUCGUAAAACUCUGUCUUUUGGGGCGAACGUGAGUAUGGUGAACAAUCAUAGUCAGUGACGGUACCAAAGGAGGAAGCCACGGCUAACUACGUGCCAGCAGCCGCGGUAAUACGUAGGUGGCAAGCGUUGUCCGGAAUUAUUGGGCGUAAAGAGCGCGUAGGCGGGAUAGUCAGUCUGUUGUAAAGUGCGGGGCUCAACCCCGUGAUCGCAAUGGAAACAGCUAUUCUUGAGUGCAGGAGAGGAAAGUGGAAUUCCCAGUGUAGCGGUGAAAUGCGUAGAUAUUGGGAGGAACACCAGUGGCGAAGGCGACUUUCUGGACUGUGUCUGACGCUGAGGCGCGAAAGCCAGGGGGAGCGAACGGGAUUAGAUACCCCCGGUAGUCCUGGCCGUAAACGAUGGGUACUAGGUGUGGGAGGUAUCGACCCCUUCCGUGCCGGAGUUAACGCAAUAAGUACCCCGCCUGGGGAGUACGGUCGCAAGACUGAAACUUAAAUGAAUUGAC